rnacentral:rRNA from 1 species
AAGUCGAACGGUAACAGGAAGCAGCUUGCUGCUUCGCUGACGAGUGGCGGACGGGUGAGUAAUGUCUGGGAAACUGCCUGAUGGAGGGGGAUAACUACUGGAAACGGUGGCUAAUACCGCAUAACGUCGCAAGACCAAAGAGGGGGACCUUCGGGCCUCUUGCCAUCAGAUGUGCCCAGAUGGGAUUAGCUUGUUGGUGAGGUAACGGCUCACCAAGGCGACGAUCCCUAGCUGGUCUGAGAGGAUGACCAGCCACACUGGAACUGAGACACGGUCCAGACUCCUACGGGAGGCAGCAGUGGGGAAUAUUGCACAAUGGGCGCAAGCCUGAUGCAGCCAUGCCGCGUGUAUGAAGAAGGCCUUCGGGUUGUAAAGUACUUUCAGCGGGGAGGAAGGUGUUGUGGUUAAUAACCGCAGCAAUUGACGUUACCCGCAGAAGAAGCACCGGCUAACUCCGUGCCAGCAGCCGCGGUAAUACGGAGGGUGCAAGCGUUAAUCGGAAUUACUGGGCGUAAAGCGCACGCAGGCGGUCUGUCAAGUCGGAUGUGAAAUCCCCGGGCUCAACCUGGGAACUGCAUUCGAAACUGGCAGGCUUGAGUCUUGUAGAGGGGGGUAGAAUUCCAGGUGUAGCGGUGAAAUGCGUAGAGAUCUGGAGGAAUACCGGUGGCGAAGGCGGCCCCCUGGACAAAGACUGACGCUCAGGUGCGAAAGCGUGGGGAGCAAACAGGAUUAGAUACCCUGGUAGUCCACGCCGUAAACGAUGUCUACUUGGAGGUUGUGCCCUUGAGGCGUGGCUUCCGGAGCUAACGCGUUAAGUAGACCGCCUGGGGAGUACGGCCGCAAGGUUAAAACUCAAAUGAAUUGACGGGGGCCCGCACAAGCGGUGGAGCAUGUGGUUUAAUUCGAUGCAACGCGAAGAACCUUACCUGGUCUUGACAUCCACAGAAGAAUCCAGAGAUGGAUUUGUGCCUUCGGGAACUGUGAGACAGGUGCUGCAUGGCUGUCGUCAGCUCGUGUUGUGAAAUGUUGGGUUAAGUCCCGCAACGAGCGCAACCCUUAUCCUUUGUUGCCAGCGGUUAGGCCGGGAACUCAAAGGAGACUGCCAGUGAUAAACUGGAGGAAGGUGGGGAUGACGUCAAGUCAUCAUGGCCCUUACGACCAGGGCUACACACGUGCUACAAUGGCGCAUACAAAGAGAAGCGACCUCGCGAGAGCAAGCGGACCUCAUAAAGUGCGUCGUAGUCCGGAUUGGAGUCUGCAACUCGACUCCAUGAAGUCGGAAUCGCUAGUAAUCGUGGAUCAGAAUGCCACGGUGAAUACGUUCCCGGGCCUUGUACACACCGCCCGUCACACCAUGGGAGUGGGUUGCAAAAGAAGUAGGUAGCUUAACCUUCGGGAGGGCGCUUACCACUUUGUGAUUCAUGACUGGGGUGAAGUCGUAACAAGGUAACCGUAGGGGAACCUGCGGUUGGAUCACCUCCUUACCUUAAAGAA